UACGAAGGGGGCUAGCGUUGUUCGGAUUUACUGGGCGUAAAGCGCACGUAGGCGGACUUUUAAGUCAGGGGUGAAAUCCCGGGGCUCAACCCCGGAACUGCCUUUGAUACUGGAAGUCUUGAGUAUGGUAGAGGUGAGUGGAAUUCCGAGUGUAGAGGUGAAAUUCGUAGAUAUUCGGAAGAACACCAGUGGCGAAGGCGGCUCACUGGACUGGUAUUGACGCUGAGGUGCGAAAGCGUGGGGAGCAAACAGG
rnacentral:rRNA from 1 species